UUAUUUUUAAUAUAUAAAAUUUGUUUAGCCGGGAAAAAAAAUCAUCUAUAGGUAAAACUUAAAAAUUCAGUAGAAAUAUUUUAUAACCUAAAUUUAUACAUGAGAACCUUUCAUUUUUCUUAAUUUUUUCAUUCUAAAUGGCCGCCUCUUUUUUUCAUCUCUUCAGUUUUUUCUCUUCUUUUUCCCUAAACUUCAUUCUUCUUCGUCUCAUUUUUUUAGCAAAAUCACAAAACUAAGCUUUUGUUAUUUUGGUGGAAACAGAUGCUGCUGUGUGAGAACGAGAUCCGGUGGUGGUGCUCCUUUUGCGGUGCUGUCAUGGUGGCUUUUCCUUGUUGUGAUUUGAAGGAUAAUGUCCGGUGAGACUGGUGGUGAUAGAUCUGGAGUCGCGAGGGCGUCGUAGUGGUGAUAGAUCUGGAGAUUUCGUCCAAGUUCUACUUCGCCUCUGAGAUUAGUCGAAAAGCUUGAGGCAAUGGUCAUGAAUCCAUGAACGGCGGUGUCUUUUGCGGCCACGAAUCCAUGAGCGGCGGCGUCUGGGUUGAUGGUAACCUUUUGCGGCCAUGAAUCCAUAAGCGGUUGUGUCUCUCCAUUGUGUAGGGUUUAGGUUUUUUUUUGUUUUUUUUAUUUUUCUUUGGUUUAAUUAUUUAGUUCAAUUGUUUGGUUUAAUUGUUGAUUUAAUUUUCUUAUAAUUUUAAAUUUAUUAUAGUGUUGUAUUUAAAUAAACUAAUUGUUUUGAUUUUGUUGUAAGAAAAAAAUUGGUUUAUAUAUAAUACAAUUCAAAUUUAUAAUUAAUAUUAAUUUGUUAAUUUCAAA
rnacentral:lncRNA from 1 species